AGCAUUGUAGCGCAGCUGGAAGCGUGUCGGGCCCAUACCAUCACGAUGAAACCCGAAGGUCGCUUGAUCGAAACAAACCAAUGCUA